GUGAUCAUCGAAUCUUUGAACGCACCUUGCGCCCCUUGGCUAUUCCGAGGGGCAUGCCUGUUUGAGUAUCAUGAACACCUCAACUCUCAUGGUUCGCCGUGACGAGCUUGGACUCUUGGGGGUAUUGCUGGCCUGCGGUCAGCUCCUCUCAAACGAAUCAGCUCUCCAGUGUUUGGUGGCGUCACGGGUGUGAUAACUAUCUACGCUUGUGGUCGUCCGCUGGGUAACCUUCAGUGAUGGAGGUUUGCUGGAGCUUACAAACGUCUCUCCUCAGCGAAGACAUCUUCUUGAACGUUCGAUCUCAAAUCAGGUAGGACUACCCGCUGAACUUAAGCAUAUCAAUAAGCGGAGG
rnacentral:rRNA from 1 species